CAGUCGCCACGGGAAUACAGAGGGUGCGAGCGUUAAUCGGAUUUACUGGGCGUAAAGCGUGCGUAGGCGGCUUCUUAAGUCGGAUGUGAAAUCCCUGAGCUUAACUUAGGAAUUGCAUUCGAUACUGGGAAGCUAGAGUAUGGGAGAGGAUGGUAGAAUUCCAGGUGUAGCGGUGAAAUGCGUAGAGAUCUGGAGGAAUACCGAUGGCGAAGGCAGCCAUCUAGCCUAAUACUGACGCUGAGGUACGAAAGCAUGGGGAGCAAACAGGAUUAGAUACCCGGGUAGUCCCUGUCUCUUAUAC
rnacentral:rRNA from 1 species